CUUAUUUUAUUCUAUUCGCUCGUGCACGAACAAGAAUGAAAGUGAAUACAGGAAAUCGCGUGGUCGUCAUCCCCAUCACAGGGGGAAGGCCCUUUCCCUUGACGCACCGAUAAGCUCGACGAUUGAGCAGCAUGUAACAUGAUCCAGUGUCAGAUAACGCUGAGACAAUGUAUACAGAGCUUGGAUCACCGCAUCAUAAAAUACUUGCAAUUGUUGCAGAUUUCCUGGAUGUGACUUAUUCGGUUAACAGAAAGCUAGAAAAAUGCGGUCACUGGCAUAGUUUUCGUCGCUUGAAAAUCAUUUGAGAUCAGCAGUGAUGUAGUACAGUUUCCCUUUGACGCAUGCUGAAACUGGAUGGCCGAAUAAUAUGAUCUGAUCCAGAUUCGAAUAUCGAUGAGAUAAUGAAGCAAUACCAAUGUAAUAGUGAAAUUUGUUUAUACUUUACUCUUUUAAAAUUAAACUUUCGCUAAUGUACUUGUGAAACUGUG
rnacentral:misc_RNA from 1 species